UAUAAGGUUUUUUUAAAAACCAAUGUUUUCUUAAAAAAAACUUAAG
rfam:Megaselia scalaris, Durham, NC isolate 2 -- Noor lab, WGS project CAQQ02000000 data, contig: ctg0000126319